AGAGUUUGAUCCUGGCUCAGGAUGAACGCCGGCGGUGUGCCUAAUACAUGCAAGUCGUACGCACUGGCCCAACUGAUUGAUGGUGCUUGCACCUGAUUGACGAUGGAUCACCAGUGAGUGGCGGACGGGUGAGUAACACGUAGGUAACCUGCCCCAGAGCGGGGGAUAACAUUUGGAAACAGAUGCUAAUACCGCAUAACAACAAAAGCCACAUGGCUUUUGUUUGAAAGAUGGCUUUGGCUAUCACUCUGGGAUGGACCUGCGGUGCAUUAGCUAGUUGGUAAGGUAACGGCUUACCAAGGCGAUGAUGCAUAGCCGAGUUGAGAGACUGAUCGGCCACAAUGGAACUGAGACACGGUCCAUACUCCUACGGGAGGCAGCAGUAGGGAAUCUUCCACAAUGGGCGCAAGCCUGAUGGAGCAACACCGCGUGAGUGAAGAAGGGUUUCGGCUCGUAAAGCUCUGUUGUUGGAGAAGAACGUGCGUGAGAGUAACUGUUCACGCAGUGACGGUAUCCAACCAGAAAGUCACGGCUAACUACGUGCCAGCAGCCGCGGUAAUACGUAGGUGGCAAGCGUUAUCCGGAUUUAUUGGGCGUAAAGCGAGCGCAGGCGGUUGCUUAGGUCUGAUGUGAAAGCCUUCGGCUUAACCGAAGAAGUGCAUCGGAAACCGGGCGACUUGAGUGCAGAAGAGGACAGUGGAACUCCAUGUGUAGCGGUGGAAUGCGUAGAUAUAUGGAAGAACACCAGUGGCGAAGGCGGCUGUCUGGUCUGCAACUGACGCUGAGGCUCGAAAGCAUGGGUAGCGAACAGGAUUAGAUACCCUGGUAGUCCAUGCCGUAAACGAUGAGUGCUAGGUGUUGGAGGGUUUCCGCCGUUCAGUGCCAGAGCUAGCGCAUUAAGCACUCCGCCUGGGGAGUGACGACCGCAAGGUUAAAACUCAAAGGAAUUGACGGGGGCCCGCACAAGCGGUGGAGCAUGUGGUUUAAUUCGAAGCUACGCGAAGAACCUUACCAGGUCUUGACAUCUUGCGCUAACCUUAGAGAUAAGGCGUUCCCUUCGGGGGCGCAAUGACAGGUGGUGCAUGGUCGUCGUCAGCUCGUGUCGUGAGAUGUUGGGUUAAGUCCCGCAACGAGCGCAACCCUUGUUACUAGUUGCCAGCAUUAAGUUGGGCACUCUAGUGAGACUGCCGGUGACAAACCGGAGGAAGGUGGGGACGACGUCAGAUCAUCAUGCCCCUUAUGACCUGGGCUACACACGUGCUACAAUGGACGGUACAACGAGUCGCAAGCUCGCGAGAGUAAGCUAAUCUCUUAAAGCCGUUCUCAGUUCGGACUGUAGGCUGCAACUCGCCUACACGAAGUCGGAAUCGCUAGUAAUCGCGGAUCAGCAUGCCGCG
rnacentral:rRNA from 1 species